rnacentral:rRNA from 1 species
CACGUAGGGCGCAAGCGUUUGUCCGGAAUUAUUGGGCGUAAAGAGCUCGUAGGUGGUUUGUUACGUCUGCUGUGAAAACCUAGGGCUUAACCCUGGGCUUGCAGUGGAUACGGGCAGACUAGAGGUAGGUAGGGGAGAAUGGAAUUCCUGGUGUAGCGGUGAAAUGCGCAGAUAUCAGGAGGAACACCGGUGGCGAAGGCGGUUCUCUGGGCCGAUACUGACGCUGAGGAGCGAAAGCGUGGGGGAGCGAACAGG